GGAAAAGUGCCCGAGAACUAAAGGACUACUUUGAUAAAGUAAAUACAGAGAUUAUCCUCUCUUUUCCCA
rnacentral:tRNA from 1 species